UACGUAGGGGGCAAGCGUUGUCCGGAUUCAUUGGGCGUAAAGAGCGUGUAGGCGGCCUGAAAGGUCAGCUGUGAAAACUCGAGGCUCAACCUCGAGACGUCGGUUGAAACCAUCUGGCUAGAGUCCGGAAGAGGAGUGUGGAAUUCCCGGUGUAGCGGUGAAAUGCGCAGAUAUCGGGAAGAACACCCGUGGCGAAGGCGGCACUCUGGGACGGGACUGACGCUGAGACGCGAAAGCGUGGGGAGCGAACAGG
rnacentral:rRNA from 1 species